CUCGCCCAAGCCCGGCCCCAAGCCCGGCCCCAAGCCCGGCCCCACCCCGCCCGGCCCCGUCAAGUGCGACGACGACAACGAGUGCCCCAACGGCUCCACCUGCUGCUGCGUCAACGAGAUCUUCAACAUGUGCUUCCAGGUGUGUGUGUGUGUGGGCGUGUGGGUGUGGAGGGGGCGAUGUGGGGCCAGGUAUGGGUGUGGUUGUCGGCGUGGUUGUAGGCGUGUUAUCAGGGUCGAAGCAAAGCAGCUUCCCUUCGCAUGCACAGUGGCGGCCCUUUCACCUCUCCUUUCCUGACGCAGCUUUUCCUGGUGCCUCACGGCCCUGUCUGCCACCUUAUGCUGCCCCAUGGCAGUGUGCCUUCUCCUUCGCUCUCUCCCCCUUCCCUCCCUAUUUACGCCUGCCCCUGCCCUCCCUCAUUACUCCUCCUCGCCCACCCGCAGUGGGGUUGCUGCCCCAUGCCCAAGGCCACCUGCUGCGACGACCACGAGCACUGCUGCCCCGCCGACCUGCCCGUGUGCGACACGGACGCGGGCCGCUGCCUGCCCUCGGCCGGCGUGUUCCUGGGGUCCAAGCCCUGGGCGGCCAAG
rnacentral:lncRNA from 1 species